UUCUCAUUGUAUCCUCACAUGGUGGAAGGGGCCAGGGAGCUCUGUGGAGUCCCUUUUAUAGGAGCACUAAUUCCACUUCAUGGGGAUGGAG